rnacentral:rRNA from 1 species
CGUAGGGUGCGAGCGUUAAUCGGAAUUACUGGGCGUAAAGCGUGCGCAGGCGGUUAUAUAAGACAGAUGUGAAAUCCCCGGGCUCAACCUGGGAACUGCAUUUGUGACUGUAUAGCUAGAGUACGGCAGAGGGGGAUGGAAUUCCGCGUGUAGCAGUGAAGUGCGUAGAUAUGCGGAGGAACACCGAUGGCGAAGGCAAUCCCCUGGGCCUGUACUGACGCUCAUGCACGAAAGCGUGGGGAGCAAACAGGAUUAGAUACCCUGGUAGUCCACGCCCUAAACGAUGUCAACUGGUUGUUGGGUCUUCACUGACUCAGUAACGAAGCUAACGCGUGAAGUUGACCGCCUGGGGAGUACGGCCGCAAGGUUG